rnacentral:miRNA from 1 species
CAGCCCUCCUCCCGCACCCAAA